UCUGAUCUUAAAUUUAAGUCUUUUAUCAUUAUUUUUAUAAGAUUUUUAUUUUCAGUCGUUCAUUUUUAGACUACUCGUUUAAUAGGUAAAUGAUGCUGAAAAAUUAUGAAAUUUAGUUUUCAAAUAUUUUUAAUAGUGUAAAUCAAGUCUAACGGAUCGAUCGUAGAUUUGGAAGCUAUAUCAUUGAAUUGGAAGCCAUAUCAUUAAAAACAACUUGGUAGCAUGAGGCCUCCGUGCUAUCGAUAGUAUACCAGCCUAGCUCUAUAUAUAUAUAUAUAUAGAGAGAGAGAGAGAGAGCUAGGCUUGAUAUACUAAUGGUAGCACAGAGGCUUCCGUGUUACCAAGUUGUUUUCAAUGAUCUAGCUUCCAAAUCAAUGAUUGUCUCUGUUAGACUUGAUUUACACUAUUGAAAGUAUUUAAAAACUAAAUUUCAUAAUUUUUCGGCAUUAUUUAUCGAUCAAACGAGUAGUCUAAAAUUGAACGACUAAAAAUAA
rnacentral:lncRNA from 1 species